GUUAUUGUUUAUUUGAUACAACAAAUGGAUAACUGUAGAAAAACUAGAGCUAAUACAUGCUUUAACCGCAAGGUUGUAUUUAUUAGAUAUUCCAGAUUGGUGAAUCAUAAUAACUUCGCAAAUCUCGUUUAUGACGAGAUAAAUCAUCCAAGUUUCUGCCCUAUCAUGCUUUCGAUGGUAGUGUAUUGGACUACCAUGGCUCUCACGGGUAACAGGGAAUUAGGGUUCGAUUCUGGAGAAGGAGCCUGAGAAACGGCUACUACAUCUACGGAAGGCAGCAGGCGCGUAAAUUACCCAAUCCUGACUCAGGGAGGUGGUGACAAGAUAUAACAACGCGAUUUAUAUCGCGAUUGUAGUGAGGGUAUUCUAAAUAGAACCUAUAGUACGAUUAGAGGGCAAGUCUGGUGCCAGCAGCCGCGGUAAUUCCAGCUCUAAUAGCGUAUAUUAAUGUUGCUGCAGUUAAAAAGCUCGUAGUUGGAUUUCAAGGACUGUAAACCCUUCGGGGAAUACAACCUACUAGUCUUAGACUGUUACUGUGAGUAAAUUAGAGUGUUUCAAGCAGGCUUUUGCAAGAAUAUAUUAGCAUGGAAUAACGAAUGUAUUUAGAAUCUUGGUUAAUUCUAAAUUACGAUUAAUAGAGACAGUUGGGGGCAUUAGUAUUUAAUUGUCAGAGGUGAAAUUCUUGGAUUUGUU
rnacentral:rRNA from 1 species